UACGUAGGGUGCAAGCGUUAAUCGGAAUUACUGGGCGUAAAGCGUGCGCAGGCGGCUUUGUAAGUCUGUCGUGAAAUCCCCGGGCUUAACCUGGGAAUGGCGAUGGAGACUGCAAGGCUAGAGUUUGGCAGAGGGGGGUAGAAUUCCACGUGUAGCAGUGAAAUGCGUAGAGAUGUGGAGGAACACCGAUGGCGAAGGCAGCCCCCUGGGUCAAAACUGACGCUCAUGUACGAAAGCGUGGGGAGCAAACAGG
rnacentral:rRNA from 1 species